UACGUAGGCAGCGAGCGUUGUUCGGAGUUACUGGGCGUAAAGGGUGUGUAGGCGGUUGUUUAAGUUUGGUGUGAAAUCUCCCGGCUCAACUGGGAGGGUGCGCCGAAUACUGAAUGACUUGGAGUGCGGGAGAGGAGAGUGGAAUUCCUGGUGUAGCGGUGAAAUGCGUAGAUAUCAGGAGGAACACCGGUGGUGUAGACGGCUCUCUGGACCGUAACCGACGCUGAGACACGAAAGCGUGGGGAGCAAACAGG
rnacentral:rRNA from 1 species